CGAAGGUAGCAUAAUCAGUAGUCUUUUAAUUGGAGGCUGGUAUGAAUGGUUGGACGAAAUAUUAACUGUUUCAUAUAAAUUUUUUAUAGAAUUUUAUUUUUUAGUUAAAAAGCUAAAAUUUUAUUAAAAGACGAGAAGACCCUAUAAAUCUUAAUACUUUAAAAAUUUUAAUUAUAAAGAUUUAUUUAAUUAUAAUUUUUGAAAGUAUUUUAUUGGGGUGAUAUUAAAAUUUAAUAAACUUUUAAUUUUUAAAUACAUUAAUUUAUGAAUAUUUGAUCCAUUAUUAUUGAUUAAAAAUUUAAGUUACUUUAGGGAUAACAGCGUAAUUUUUUUGGAGAGUUCAUAUCGAUAAAAAAGAUUGCGACCUCGAUGUUGGAUUAA
rnacentral:rRNA from 1 species